rnacentral:tRNA from 1 species
AUCUAGGUAGUUUAUUUUAGAAUUAUAAUUUGUGGUGUUAUAGGUGUAAUUUAUUACUCUAGAUU